GUAUAACAUUCUACCUCAGUUACAUGUAAGUAUAACAUUCUACCUCAGUUACAUGUAAGUAUAACAUUCUACCUCAGUUACAUGUAAGUAUAACCUUCUACCUCAGUUACAUGUAAGUAUAACCUUCUAUCUCAGUUACAAGAGCUGAUGAUAAUCUCAUCUGAGAUGUGACAAUAUUGGUGAUGGAUAUACCGGGUUAUGAGAUGUGGGUGGGGUUCCACCUCCAUCCAUAUACUGACGCAAACCUGGGAUCAAAAUCGCUUGUCUUUUUCUUUCAACUAAUCUCUGUAUCUGUAUGUAAUGUACCUGACAGGAAACAAAUACUAUUUGAACCCAGGUCUGUUACACUACAGAGCUGUGGCUCUUAUCUCAUCCACAGCAGGUUUACCAUAUAGGUGGGAAUUGAGUGCUAUUUGGGAUGCAGGCUAUGCUUCUCUGUGCCCUUUCCAUUGCCCCAGGGCGCCACACAGAGAGAAGCUCAUCCUCCAACCGCUAAUGGAACAUGUGACCUUUGACUUUUACACUGUCAGCUGCACUGAGCAAGAGGGUCUGGGCUGGUGAGGAGCCAGGAAGAGGUGGACUAGAGAAUUAGAACCAGAUUCAGAGAGACCAGGAAGUAACAUGAAUUCUGUGUAUCUAUGGAUUUUAAAUGAGGAGGUGUACUGGAGAGCAGGAACCAGAGAGGUGCCAGGGAGAAACAGGCACUGAGCAAGAGGACCUGGUUAGGAGGAGGAGGUGAACUGAGGAAGUGAGACCAGAGAGACCAGGAAGGAACAGUUAUACUGCUGUUCCUGUCUUCCAGUGAGGGAAGAGGUUGCCAUUUGGGAAGCAGACCCGGACAGCAGGCACUUUCAGACUUUCCUUAUUCUGGAUCCAAAAAGAAAGGAGACACCAGAAUGUUUUUGAAGAUAGCGGCAAUUUUGGAAAACAGAGCUACUUCUCAUUCAUCCCCUUUUCUCUGAAAAUGGCACAUGUCAAAGCUCUGCUCAGAUCCGUUUCCCGGACUCACAUUAAGCCUGGUCCUAGACUAAAUGUCAAGGUAUUCGUCGUCGGAAGAUGAGGAAUCAUCGGACCAAAGCGCAGUGUGGAAACAACGCAGCGGUCCAGCCCAACUGGAAGACUGGUGAGUAAAAUAUAGUGUGUAACGUACACAAAUAUUCUAAAAUGCACAUACAAUUUUAUGAUAAGCGUAAAAAGUGCUGUGAUUUGGCAUGGAUAAAUAAAAAAAAUAAGUUUCAUAUUCGCCCCGUCCACCUGGCCCCGUCCACCUGGCCCAGUUCCAGUCGAACGCGAUUGUGUUUCCGUUUUACGACGCCGGCGAAUUCCUUCAGAGUUGGCGUCAUUAACAAAUAAACCAAAUCAAAACACGGCUCACAUUUGGGAACACACACACAAAUGGCUUCACCAGGAGGAGGGAAAAGGAUUGGUAUUUUUUGAAGGCCGAUGUUCAGCCCAGCCAAUCAAGCAGCUCUUAACACUCUGCUUGGGCACUUUUAUCCAACAACGUAUCAGUAGAGACGGCUGGAUGCGCUUGAUGCUCUGGCCUUGGAAAGUCAAACUCAAUUUUGUGGAAGGUGCAGAAUGCCGUGUCCAAGGGGCUAACUGGCAUAGCCUGCUCAGAUGAGCAGUGACAAUGGAGUUCAGGGACUCGGAGGAACCUUGAGCCAAAGUGGUUAAACAGCAUUGACUUCCCACACCAUAAGGCCAGUGACCAAUAUGCAGAAAAGCGUCCGGAAUGUCCACCUCUGGUUCCCACUCCUGCCUCCCACCUCUGGUUCCCACUCCUGCCUCCCACCCCUGGUUCCCACUCCUGCCUCCCACCCCUGCCUCCCACCCCUGGUUCCCACUCCUGCAUUCCACUCACAGGAGGAAUUUAAUAGGAGCCUGAGACACCUGCAUCUGCCUGUGGGGAAUCUGCUCUAUGAGUGUGUUAAUGCUGAACCGACAAUAACAUCACAGCCAGUAGCAUCCCAGGUAAAAUUGGACGGAAAGGAAUAUUUAUUUAUGGCUGUACCAUUUUCAAUGUAUUUGAAGAUAAUGAGCUCCCAGUGGCUGGAAGAAUGUGGAUACUCUGUGGACCACAGAGGCACUGAUGUCAGUGUUGAAGAGCCAUGGUUAUCAGCAAGCCCUGGUGGAAUACUGAAAUCCAAGGAGUUGUUGAAGAUCAAGUGUCCUGUCAUGGGGUAGAGGCUGUGAUUUUCUGGAUGAUGUCUUCAAUAGGAAAGUGAUGUGAAGGUGAUGGAGGACUACACCUCGACUGCAACCACAUGGGCCACGUGGCUACAACAUGCAGGUACAAAUUGGUCUGUUUCGCACAGGACUGAGAGAAAGUAAGGUGUUCAUCUGGACUGCAUCCCAGCAAGUUGUCAUCCCUGUUCCCUAUGAUACACAGUCCUGUGCAGAGGCUGUCCUGAGGUUGAAGGCAUUCUACUCAACACACAUGCUGACAUUUAUUGUUGAGGAGCAUCAGGCAGAUUGUCACUGAGUGACAAAUAUAUAUAUGCAGCUCUGUAGAAGUAUGUAGUCAGAUGUCUCACCUGUUUGCAGUUACUAUUAAAACCUUGUUUUUCAAUUAAAAAGCCUGACUUAAUGC
ensembl:lncRNA